UACGUAGGUGGCAAGCGUUGUCCGGAAUUAUUGGGCGCAAAGCGCGCGCAGGCGGUUUCUUAAGUCUGAUGUGAAAGCCCACGGCUCAACCGUGGAGGGUCAUUGGAAACUGGGAAACUUGAGUGCAGAAGAGAAGAGCGGAAUUCCACGUGUAGCGGUGAAAUGCGUAGAGAUGUGGGGGAACACCAGUGGCGAAGGCGGCUCUUUGGUCUGUAACUGACGCUGAGGCGCGAAAGCGUGGGGAGCGAACAGG
rnacentral:rRNA from 1 species